rnacentral:misc_RNA from 1 species
GAUGAAGAACGCAGCGAAAUGCGAUAAGUAAUGUGAAUUGCAGAAUUCAGUGAAUCAUCGAAUCUUUGAACGCACAUUGCGCCCGGUAGUAUUCUGCCGGGCAUGCCUGUUCGAGCGUCAUUUCAACCAUCAAGCCCCAGCGCUUGUGUUGGGGGCCUGCGGCUGCCGCAGCCCCCUAAAAGCAGUGGCGGGCUCGCUAUCACACCGAGUGCAGUAGAUUACUCUUCGCUCAGGGCGUGCAGCGGGUUCCGGCCGUGAAACCCCCUACUUUUAAAGGUUGACCUCGGAUCAGGUAGGAAUACCCGCUGAACUUAAGCAUAUCAAUAAGCGGAGGA